CACGUAGGGGGCGAGCGUUGUCCGGAUUUAUUGGGCGUAAAGAGCUCGUAGGCGGUUCGGCAAGUCGGGUGUGAAAUUUCGAGGCUCAACCUCGAAACGCCACUCCAUACUGCUGUGACUGGAGUCCGGUAGAGGAGUGCGGAAUUCCUGGUGUAGCGGUGAAAUGCGCAGAUAUCAGGAGGAACACCAACGGCGAAGGCAGCACUCUGGGCCGGUACUGACGCUGAGGAGCGAAAGCGUGGGGAGCAAACAGG
rnacentral:rRNA from 1 species